rnacentral:lncRNA from 1 species
AAACAUAUUAAAUUACAUAAUUCAAAUAAAAGUAAAAUAAACAAUAUAAAUAUCCAAACAUCUUAAAAUACAUAAUUCAAAUAAAAAUUGAUACAUGUCCAUAGUUCAUGGAAAAUAUUAAAUAAAAAUAAAUCAGCUUAUUUUAGGACUCACAUGCAAUGCAAACAACCCAAAAUAGAUCUGAAGUUCAUGGUUAAAAUCAGACAGAUCAUCCAAUCCCAAAUUUCACAAUUAAGCAUAAACAGCCACCUAGUACGAGGUUCCACACAAUUCAGAAUUUUGCAGGCAUCUGCAACAGUUUGAUAGCCUAACAAUUGACGACAUUCACAAGGUUUUCAAUACGAGAAAUCCCAACUAGAGAAACAAGUAAAUGAUGCAAAUACCAUAUCACAGAAAUCCAAGAUAACAGUGGCAAUAGACUUUUUACAUAGAAUUAGAGUAAUGAUCAAGCCACGAGUUCACCAGCUACUGCUGGUGCUUGCAAGGAUAGGUUCCUAUUUCUUUGUGGAAUGCAUUGACAACAAGGUUUUGGUGCAGGAUCAGUUUUCCCCUUUCUCUAGUGCAUAAUAAUCAAUCUUUCCUUCAACCCCUGGGAGGCAUCAUUGCCUGCCAUCCCUGCACUAUCAAGUGCACAUACAACAACCAUCCAUGAUCCAACUAUCCUGUCUGUUCAUACAGUGAUCAUUUUCUUUUUUGUUGGCAGCAGACUCUUCAUCCCAACAAAGAAUUCCAGUUUCUCAUCCCUUCAGGCUAUCGAAAAUCGCAAAUGCGAGCAAUAAUUAACUAGUAGGGAAAUACUUGGAUGAUCUCGUUUAAACUCUCUUACAGAAAACCUAUAUUCACAAUUGAACAAGGGCAGAUUUCAACCCAAUGCUGCCCCAAACUAACCCAACAUCAUAUGCAGCUUCGCCAUAAAAAUAAACUCAAAGCUGGGUGAAGAAAAGACUUCCCAGUUUACUCAUUGUCAGCAACGUAUCCAGAUCAAAAGAUGAUCCUAAAGCCAAAUGUGAACACAAACAAACAGCUCUAAUUUCAUAAGCCUUUUAGAUCAUUAAAGUUUGAAGGUGCUGCAAGGCACAUAAAUGUAAAAAAACCAGAAUAAAAGUCAAAGAAAGGAAUAUAACGGACAAAGAUGCAAGAUGGUACACAGAAAAAACCCCUACUCAAACCUCUAAACUUACAGCAUCUAACCAAAGAAAACAGGACAUGGAUUUUACGCUAUAACUCUUCUAACAUGCAAGCCAAUGUGUGCAUAAAAAAAAAAAAGAAAUUCACAAGGCAAAAUUAACAGAUUAUAUACUGAUUCACGAGGAAAAAAAGGAGACCCAAAUUAUAUAAUCACAUAUUACUUGCAGCAAAAUACAUUCACUGAUUCACAGGUUCCAGAACCGAUUGUAGAAUGCCCAGAAGAUGAACAUAGAUUCACAGAAAAAAAAAAGCUUGGGUUCCCAAUUCUUACCUUCGUCUCGCCAAGAACGCUCUGGAGUCAGGGACGGUGUGACCGUGUGAGACAGGGACGAAGACAAAGUCGCGAGACAAGGAGUCAGGGACGAGGUCGGGGACUUGGGUGGGAAUUGGGAAUUUGGGGAAGAAAAGAGAUUAGUGCCCUGACCCUAAGUCAAUAUUUGUGCAUUUCUAAUUUUCCAAUUUCCAUUCGCUUAGUCACUGAGGCUGACCGUGACUUUUU